rnacentral:misc_RNA from 1 species
GAUGAAGAACGCAGCGAAAUGCGAUACGUAAUGUGAAUUGCAGAAUUCAGGGAAUCAUCGAAUCUUUGAACGCAUAUUGCGCUCUCUGGUAUUCCGGAGAGCAUGCUUGUUUGAGUAUCAGUAAACACCUCAACUCCCUUUUCUUUUUUGAAAUGGGAGCUGGACUUGAGUGAUCCCAACGCUUUUCUCACCGGAAAGUGGCGGGUUACUUGAAAUGCAGGUGCAGCUGUACUUUUCUCUGAGCUAUAAGCAUAUCUAUUUAGUCUGCCUAAAAACAGAUUAUUACCUUUGCUGCAGCUAACAUAAAGGAGAUUAGUUCUUGUGCUGACUGAUGCAGGAUUCACAGAGACAGCUUCGGCUGACUUUGUAAACUCGAUCUCAAAUCAAGUAAGACUACCCGCUGAACUUAAGCAUAUCAAUAAGCGGAGGA